CAUAUACUUCCUCCGUCCGAAAAAACUUGUCCCUCAAAUGGAUGUAUUUAAGACUAAGUUAGUGCUACAUACAUCCAUUUGAGAGACAAGCUUUGGACAAUCUUUUCUGGACGGAGGGAGUAGAUG
rfam:Triticum urartu cultivar G1812 contig892474, whole genome shotgun sequence.